rnacentral:rRNA from 1 species
UGACCUCGGAUCAAGGUAAGGGUUACCCCC